rnacentral:misc_RNA from 1 species
AUAUGGAGUUCCCAUGCCUUCAAUGUGGUACAGAAUUUAGUGGCUUUCACUGCAGUGAACACAUGAUCCAUUUGCAAUGUCAAGCUUGUGGAGGAAUGAUGCCUUCCAGAACUGAUAUUAAUGUACCACAACACUGUUUGGGAUGUGAUAGAGCAUUUUGCAGUGCUUAUUGGCAUGCUCAAGGGGUUCACAGAAGUAACUCUCAAAUGGUGUGCGGUAAUGAGAAUUUUAAACCGGUUUCUCAACACACUAUCUCUCAGAUUCCAUUUUUGGCGCAUGAGAUGAAUCGGCAUGAACAGGAUAUCACUGCGAGGUGUAUCAGACAGAUGGGAAAAACAUUGCAAGAUAUUGUCUCAGAUUGGAUUAGCAAGCUGAACAAUGGAGAAAUUGAUCGGACAAGAAUGCCAUUGAAUCAUGCUGAGAUGAUAACUGCAGGAACACAUGUUUGCAAUGAUUGUUAUGAUAAACUGGUCUCCUUUCUCUUGUACUGGUUUCGGGUUUCAUUGCCCAGACAUUUUCUACCAGCUGAUGCAAUUAACAGGGAAGAUUGCUGGUAUGGAUAUGCAUGUCGUACCCAACACCAUAAUGAAGCUCAUGCUCGUAAAAGAAAUCAUGUCUGCCGUCCUACGAGGGUUUCUUAUCAAUAAAUAAUUUCUAACUUUAUAUUUGUGUUUUGUUCACUUAUUGCACAUAUUGUACUUAAGUAAAAUCGCCUCGCAAACUUUCUCAUCGCAUGGCAGAUUUCUAUUUUGAAAGCUAGGUUUUGGUAUUACAGGCCUUGUGAGACAGCUAGGGCAU